rnacentral:rRNA from 1 species
AUUGAACGCUGGCGGCAUGCCUUACACAUGCAAGUCGAACGGUAACAGGGAGCUUGCUCCGCUGACGAGUGGCGAACGGGUGAGUAAUGUAUCGGAACGUACCUUUUAGUGGGGGAUAACGUAGCGAAAGUUACGCUAAUAUCGCAUAUUCUCUGAGGAGGAAAGCAGGGGACCUUCGGGCCUUGCGCUAAUAGAGCGGCUGAUAUCAGAUUAGCUAGUUGGUGAGGUAAAGGCUCACCAAGGCGACGAUCUGUAGCGGGUCUGAGAGGAUGAUCCGCCACACUGGAACUGAGACACGGUCCAGACUCCUACGGGAGGCAGCAGUGGGGAAUUUUGGACAAUGGGGGCAACCCUGAUCCAGCCAUGCCGCGUGAGUGAAGAAGGCCUUCGGGUUGUAAAGCUCUUUCGGCCGGGAAAAAAUCGCAUGGGCUAAUACCCUGUGUGGAUGAUGGUACCGGAAUAAGAAGCACCGGCUAACUACGUGCCAGCCGCCGCGGUAA